ACUCCCGCCUUCCCCGCAGCCCUGUGAAUGCUCAGCCUUGUGAAUGCUCAUCCCGCCGCUGUUCGCUCUCCCGCGGUUGCUGCUUGCAUAGGGUUUCAGAUCCGGAAAUUUGAGGAUGCGAAACGUGAGAUUUUCUCUUCGACAACCUCACGCUAGUACGGGUGAUGGGUGUGCGGCCCACCGGAGCCCGCCCUGCCCAACCUGCACCCUCGGGGCUCGAAGAGGAGCCAAGCGUUUCCCCAGGUCCUAGUUAUGCCUCCAAAUAAUAUUCGUAGAAAAACAAAACAGAAAAACCCUCCAGACUUUUAUCCACAAAUAAAGAAGAAACAUAUUUUGGUUAAAACGUCACCCAAUUCUUCAAGGAUGACUUACGCAGUUAUGCAAGAAUGGGUUUGCCACAUGUGACCACAGUGGUGACUGGCCCCUGAGGAAGGAAAAUUUUAAGUACGGGGAAGGGGCCGGAGGGCAAGGAGAUUCGUGAGAAUAUCGCAGGGCCUGUAAUGCUGAAACCAGUGCGUCGCCACUAUUAUUGGUAUCCAGUAAUUAUUAAUGUCAAACGGAAAAAUAGCAACGCGGGAUAUUUUAUUUUAGAAGUCACCACGGUCAUGGAAAAAACACGGGCUCUGGAGUCAGACCCAUGUAUAACAAUCUUUGUACAGUUAAGACUCAGUUCUAUUAUCUAUAAAAUGGGCCUUAAUAAUAGUACUACCUUAUAGAGCUAUUAGGAUCAAGAGAAUAUUUAAUCAAUGAUGGGUUGUGUUUGGUUGAGUGAUGUGAAAUUGCCAAUGUUUUGGCCGUUCUGGGUCUACAUCAUUCCCCUUAAUGGUACAGUACUUGCAUACUGCUGCGGUUUCCUGUCAGGGGGAGGACUGGAUUAUGAUCCAUGGGAAGGGGAAAUGGAAGAACGGUGGAAAUGAGUUGCCCAUGACCACACUGAGAAGAGGGAAAGAGGGACCAAGACACAAGUCUCUUGACUUCAGUCCAGCCCAUUUCCCAUGACCAAGAUUCCUCUGAUUACAUGAAGGUGGGUUCUCAAAAAACCCGUAAUAAAAGGACAAGGUCUUCCAUGUCCACUUCACCAGAAAUGUUUUAUUCUUACUUUUUAGGAACUGCGGCCCCCAACUGUUAUGCAUAUUGAAUAAAGGGACAGAACAGGGAUGAGGUGCCCUCCAAUGCAUACUUUGCAAAUGUGGUGAGGAACAUGGGAUGUGGCAUCUGAAUUGCCUGAGUCCAAAUCGUGGACCCAAUGCUUCCUGGCUGUGUAAUUUGGACAAGUGACUGAACCUUCUGAGCCUCGGUUUCUCUCAUCUGUAAACUGGGGACAAUAAUGGUGGUUGUGAGAAGUACAGUAUGAUGUGCCUGGCAGAGGGAGAGAGCAGUUGUGGGUUUUGUUGUUGUUUUUAACGAGUCCCUGAUAGCCACAUAUCCCGUUAGGGAGAUGAGCCAGCUAUUGAGGGUUCUGUGAGAACUCAUAGCAACACCACCCUAAUCAGAGGAAAGGGGAAGGAGAAAGGGAAACAAGAUCCUUGGGCUGAUCAGAGGCAGAGGUGGCAAUGGCACAACACCUAUUGGGGCCCAAGGUGGGCAGGGGCCACACCACGAAGGCUGUGGUUGGGAAUCAAGUUUAGCCCAUAAAGCAGUAGGCAAUCAAAUGAUCAAAUUUAUGCUUUCCUCUAUUCAAGCCAUUCUCCCUUAUGCCUGAGAUCUCUCUCUGGAAUUCCAAACCGAUCUAGAUCUUUCCAAGCAUCACAAUGGCCAUUUCAGUGGCAGACAUUUCUGGGGUUCAAAUAUCUUGUUAUCUAUCCUUUAUUAGCUUUGUUUAUACUGUGAUUGGGGGAAAGGGGACGUGUCGGUCUUUACAUGAUUAAAAUUACUUAAAAUGAC